rnacentral:lncRNA from 1 species
GAAGUCAAUCUGGCGAGCCUCCGGUGUCUCCUUUAGCACGUGACUUGUACCAAUCGAAGGCUUAAAACAUGGCGAACCCUAUGGCGGUGUUCGAUUCUCUAAUCGUGCGUCGGUAGUAGUUCUGUCAAGACUAAAGUGUGAAAAGCGUUAGGGCUUUUGGUAAAUGGAACAACAGUGAUAGUGUGAAAAGCGUUAGGUUCUUCGGAUGACUAUCAGAGAGGGCUGACAAGUAGAACAUGGUGUCGGAGACUCACAACCAAGUUGUAUGAUGGACUUUCCUUAUCACUAGGCCUAGGCAUCAUUUUCAGAGUCCGAGGAGCUUAACAUCUUGGUGCAGUCAGGCUCUAUGUGUUUGGAAAUUCAAUAAUUAAGAUGACGUUUGCUAAGUACCUCCCAGCAGUCGAUCUUACAGCUAACAUGAGAGAGCUUCUAACGGAGUUGUAAUUGUAACCGAAAAGAAGCUCCCAUCCAUUUUAGUCGAUGAGACAUCGGUGCAAAAGAUCCAGAUUUUGACUCCUAAUAUUGGAGUUGUUUACAGCUAUUUAAGAUGAAUUUGUCUUAGAGCUUUCGCUUGCACGUUUGAAGGCUUAUGCUGAAUUUGUCUUUGGUAUGGGUUUAUAUCAGGGUGUUCCGUCUACUCUUGCUUUCAUAGCCUUCGAACUCCCACCUAAUGGAGCUAUUGGCACUCGGAUUCUGGAGUUCCUAUUUCGCUCCAGAUCUGAUAUGAUUGCAGGUGAUCAAUCGCCAGAAGCAUUGAUGAGGCUAUAACAACUGGCACUACACUCUUGUUGUCAUCUUCUACAUUUGUUCUACAGGUAUAUUGCUCAUAUAUGUAUUACAAUAUAAAUGAAAGAGCUCAUGCAUUUCUUUAACGUGUUUGAAAAAUUUUGUAAUUUGAUUUACUGGAAUGAAAGUCCCCUUGUAACACUACCGUAAUAUCUUAAUCUUUCUUUUUUUGCUUGUUGUGUCCCGAUAGAAUUUGCUUAGGAAGUAGCUUAAUAAAAGUGCGUUUGGGUCAUGACCCAUUUAACUAAGAAUUAGAC